UACGUAGGGUGCGAGCGUUAAUCGGAAUUACUGGGCGUAAAGGGUGCGUAGGUGGCGAGGUAAGUUCGAUGUGAAAUCCCCGAGCUCAACUCGGGAACUGCGUCCGAUACUGGCAGGCUUGAAUCCGGGAGAGGGAUGCGGAAUUCCAGGUGUAGCGGUGAAAUGCGUAGAUAUCUGGAGGAACACCGGUGGCGAAGGCGGCAUCCUGGACCAAUAUUGACGCUGAGGAGCGAAAGCCAGGGGAGCAAACGGG
rnacentral:rRNA from 1 species